rfam:Thermacetogenium phaeum DSM 12270, complete genome.
CAACCCGCACUGGAAGGUGCGGCUGAACUGGCAGGAGUCAGCAGAGGUCAUGGUACCCCUUUCAGACGUCAAAGAGGGGGAAGGAC